GCAUGACGAACGGGUGAAGGCGGCGCACGAGAAGUACGACGACGGCCGCCGCGCUAUUGACGUAGCGAACGAGGAACUGGCAACCCUCGUGCGUGAGUCGGCGAAGAUUAACGCCGAUGCGAAGAAGGUAGAGGCGCGGGGGCACAUCGGCGAGGCCACGCCCGAAGAGGUACAGGAAGCCCGAAAGGGAGCGAUGGAGGCCGAGGAGCGCGUCAUCCUCAAGGAGCGGGAAGUCGAAACGCGGACGAUGGCCCUCCGGCUCCUUGAGGACAAGAUCAAGCACGCGAAGGGGGUCGCCCUGGGGGAGAUCGCGGCGGAGCUCAACGCCGACUAUCCGAGCUGGGUGCAGCGGGUGAUCGAUGCGCUGGCGGAAUCCGAGGCAGCCAGGAUCGC
rnacentral:misc_RNA from 1 species